UGAGGAAUAUUGGUCAAUGGGCGAGAGCCUGAACCAGCCAGGUCGCGUGAAGGACGACGGCCCUAUGGGUUGUAAACUUCUUUUGUAAGGGAAUAAAAAAGUUUACGUGUAGACUAUUGCAUGUACCUUACGAAUAAGGAUCGGCUAACUCCGUGCCAGCAGCCGCGGUAAUACGGAGGAUCCGAGCGUUAUCCGGAUUUAUUGGGUUUAAAGGGUGCGUAGGCGGACAAGCCAGUCAGUGGUGAAAGUUUGUAGCUCAACUAUAAAAUUGCCAUUGAAACUACUUGUCUUGAGUGCAAAUGAGGUAAGCGGAAUGUGUAGUGUAGCGGUGAAAUGCUUAGAUAUUACACAGAACCUCUAUUGCGAAGGCAGCUUACUGGGAUGCAACUGACGCUGAGGC
rnacentral:rRNA from 1 species